rnacentral:rRNA from 1 species
UACGAACCGUACAAACGUUAUUCGGAAUCACUGGGCUUAAAGGGUGCGUAGGCGGCCAUGUAAGUGGGGUGUGAAAUCCCUCGGCUCAACCGAGGAACUGCGCUCCAUACUGCAUGGCUUGAGGGAGACAGGGGUAAGCGGAACUUCCGGUGGAGCGGUGAAAUGCGUAGAUAUCGGAAGGAACACCGGUGGCGAAAGCGGCGCGCUGGAUCCCUUCUGACGCUGAGGCGCGAAAGCCAGGGGAGCGAACGGG